AUGGGGCUGAGCCACGUGCAGGCCAUUUUCUUUGACCUGGACAACACACUCAUCAACACAGGUGUGACAAGCAGGAGAGGCAUGUUGGAGGCAAUAAAGCUCUUACAAUCAAAAUACCAGUAUAAACAGGAGGCUGAAUUCACCUGUGAUAAAGCUCAAGUUAAACUCAAGAAGGAAUGUUUUCACCAUUACAAUACAUGCAUUACUGAUCUAAGGACUUCACAAUGGGAGGAAGCAAUCCAGGAAACAAAACAUGGUGUAGCCAAUAGGAAACUGGCUGAAGAACGUUACCUCCUUUGGAAAACCACACAUUUACAGCACAUGACACUAAGGUCAGUGAGAUGUCAAAGCUAUGCUCAUUGAAAUCAGAAAGGAGGUCUGCCUACUUUUAGUAAUGAAUGGGGUCAGACAGACCCAGAGGGAGAAGAUGAGGCUUGUGUCUGUCAGUCCUAUGUCCAAGUUGUUGUAGGUGAACAGCAGAGGGAGGAGAAGCCAGCACCUUCCAUAUUUUAUUAAUGCUGCAAUCUCCUUGGAGUACAACCUGUGGACUGUGUGAUGGUUGGUGACAUGUUAGAAAGUGACACACAAGGGGGUCUCAAAGCAGGGUUGAAAGCAACAGUAUGGAUCAAUAAAAUUGGAAUAGUGCCACUGAAGUCCUCCCCAGUUCCAUAUUACAGUUUCUUUUGUGCUAGAGUUACCUGCUCUCUUACAAAGUAUAGACCACAAAGUCAGUAUGCCCUCUUA
rnacentral:lncRNA from 1 species